GCUUUCUUGCUGAGAGUGGCGGACGGGUGAGUAAUGCUUGGGAAUCUGGCUUAUGGAGGGGGAUAACUACGGGAAACUGUAGCUAAUACCGCGUAGUAUCGGGAGAUGAAAGUGUGGGACCGCAAGGCCACAUGCCAUAAGAUGAGCCCAAGUGGGAUUAGGUAGUUGGUGGGGUAAAGGCCUACCAAGCCGACGAUCUCUAGCUGGUCUGAGAGGAUGACCAGCCACACUGGAACUGAGACACGGUCCAGACUCCUACGGGAGGCAGCAGUGGGGAAUAUUGCACAAUGGGGGGAACCCUGAUGCAGCCAUGCCGCGUGAAUGAAGAAGGCCUUCGGGUUGUAAAGUUCUUUCGGUGAUGAGGAAGGCAGUUGUUUUAAUAGAACAAUUGAUUGACGUUAGUCACAGAAGAAGCACCGGCUAACUCCGUGCCAGCAGCCGCGGUAAUACUGAGGGUGCAAGCGUUAAUCGGAAUGACUGGUCGUAAAGGGCACGCAGGCGGUGACUUAUGUGGGAUGUGAAAGCCCCCGGGCUUAACCUGGGAAUUGCAUUUCAUACAGGGUCGCUAGAGUAUUUUAAGGAGGGGUAGAAUUCC
rnacentral:rRNA from 1 species